rnacentral:rRNA from 1 species
ACUCCUGCGGGAGGCAGCAGUGGGGAAUAUUGCACAAUGGGCGCAAGCCUGAUGCAGCCAUGCCGCGUGUAUGAAGAAGGCCUUCGGGUUGUAAAGUACUUUCAGCGGGGAGGAAGGCGAUAAGGUUAAUAACCUUGUCGAUUGACGUUACCCGCAGAAGAAGCACCGGCUAACUCCGUGCCAGCAGCCGCGGUAAUACGGAGGGUGCAAGCGUUAAUCGGAAUUACUGGGCGUAAAGCGCACGCAGGCGGUCUGUCAAGUCGGAUGUGAAAUCCCCGGGCUCAACCUGGGAACUGCAUUCGAAACUGGCAGGCUAGAGUCUUGUAGAGGGGGGUAGAAUUCCAGGUGUAGCGGUGAAAUGCGUAGAGAUCUGGAGGAAUACCGGUGGCGAAGGCGGCCCCCUGGACAAAGACUGACGCUCAGGUGCGAAAGCGUGGGGAGCAAACAGGAUUAGAAACCCUUGUAGUCCC